UACGGAGGGUGCGAGCGUUAAUCGGAAUUACUGGGUGUAAAGCGCGCGUAGGCGGUUUGUUAAGUCAGCUGUGAAAGCCCCGGGCUCAACCUGGGAACUGCAGUUGAUACUGGCCGACUGGAGUACGAGAGAGGGAGGUAGAAUUCCAUGUGUAGCGGUGAAAUGCGUAGAUAUAUGGAGGAAUACCGGUGGCGAAGGCGGCCUCCUGGCUCGAUACUGACGCUGAGGUGCGAAAGCGUGGGGAUCAAACAGG
rnacentral:rRNA from 1 species